rfam:Papio anubis isolate 1X1155 chromosome 7, whole genome shotgun sequence.
GUCUAUGACCAUACCACCCUGAGUGCACCCCAUCUCCUCUGAUCUCGGAAGCUCGGCAGGGUCCGGCCUGGUUAGUACUUGGAUGGGAGAACAGGGAAGCCUUUCCAGGCAGAGGGA